rnacentral:rRNA from 1 species
UACGUAGGGUGCAAGCGUUGUCCGGAAUUAUUGGGCGUAAAGAGCUCGUAGGCGGUUUGUCGCGUCUGCUGUGAAAACUCGGGGCUCAACUCCGAGCUUGCAGUGGGUACGGGCAGACUAGAGUGCGGUAGGGGAGAUUGGAAUUCCUGGUGUAGCGGUGGAAUGCGCAGAUAUCAGGAGGAACACCGGUGGCGAAGGCGGGUCUCUGGGCCGAUACUGACGCUGAGGAGCGAAAGCGUGGGGAGCGAACAGG